ACUCUUGGCUCAGGGGGCCUGGGCCUGCUUGUCAGGGGAAAUUCUGUGUCGUGUUUUCCCUGUUUGUUCACCUUGUGGUCUGCAAGCAUACUUCAGUUCAUUUGUGACAUUGAAUUCACCUUGGCUUUGCGUUGUUUCGGUUCGCCUGAAUUAAUCUUUUUCCUUCUGCAGCUGCAGAGGUUUUCAGGAAGCUGACUUGUGAAGUGU